GACGAACGCUGGCGGCGUGCCUAAUACAUGCAAGUCGAGCGAAGCGGCGGAUUGGUGAGCAACGCGUGGGUAACCUGCCCAUAAGUCUGGGAUACUAUUUGGAAACAGAUGCUAAUACCGGAUAAUAAAGGAGUGACUUGGGAUGCAUUAGCUAGUUGGUAAGGUAACGGCUUACCAAGGCGAUGAUGCAUAGCCGAGUUGAGAGGAUGAUCGGCCACAUUGGGACUGAGACACGGCCCAGACUCCUACGGGAGGCAGCAGUAGGGAAUCUUGCACAAUGGGCGAAAGUCUGAUGGAGCAACGCCGCGUGAAUGAAGAAGGUUUUCGGAUCGUAAAGCUCUGUUGUUGGUGAAGCGGUAAUCAACCAGAAAGUCACGGCUAACUACGUGCCAGCAGCCGCGGUAAUUC
rnacentral:rRNA from 1 species